ACCAAAUGUUGACUUAAAACUGUGGAGUAAAGAUUAAGUGUGUGGUUACUCAUGUGAGUAUGCAAGGAAGAAGUGCAGUUUAUUAGGGAGAGUUGUUGUGGUUUGCCUUGAAAUUUUCUCUGAAUUUGUUAAAUAAAGGCAAGAGCGUGAGAUUUGGACAGAGGGAAAAGUCGGGAGCGAGAGGGGGAUUAGAAUCAGAGAAUAGGGUGAGAGAAGACAGUUGGUGACAGUUGAGCCAGUAGAACCUGAGGAAGGGGGAGGGGAUUGAAGAGUUGAGUGGAGAGAGAGUUGGGAGAGGAGUAAGGAAGAUAGGUGGAAAGGGAACUGUUGAGCAGACGAUGGGGAACUGAGAAAAGUUAGAGGAAUCAGGGGAGGAGAAAGAGAAGAAGCGAGGAGAGAGUCGUCGUGGCAGAAGAAGAAGCUGGAGACUUGGCAAAUAAAAGGUGCAAGGGAUGAGAGAUUUGGGAGCUAGGAAUAGGACAGUGUAGGGUAGAUCUGCCAAAUCUAGACGCUGGAUUAUUUUCACAUUAAUUGAGUUGUGUUUUCUUUGUACGGGCCGAUUCGGGUUGGAGAGGAAACUGCAACAGAGAGUUACCGAAAAUGAGAAUUGAGAAAAAUUGAAAGGUUAUGGGUGAAAGAAAGAAAACCAGAAGUGUGAGAAGAGUCUCCAAGAGAGAAAUAAAACUAUGUAGUUCCUUGUCCAGUGUUUGCUAUAGGCAAGAAUUUGACGAAGAUUGAUGUGAUUGCUAUGAGAUUGCUUAGUCCUCUGAGGUAUCAUAAGGCAAGCAAAGGAGGGCCCUAUGGGCGUAAUGAGCAUGUAAUAACUUAGAUUCAGCCUAAACUACAGGGAUGGUUAAGUGCCCUACUUGUUGAUUUUUGUUAUUUUCUCUUUUUUUUUUUCUGGAGCUGGGGACCGAACCCAGGUCCUUGUGCUUGCUAGGCAAGUGCUCUAGCACUGAGCUAAAUCCCCAACCCCUUGAUUUUUGAGUUGUGAGCUUUGUAGCUGCUGACCUUGACUCUCUGCUAGGCAUUAUCACUCAAUAAUCUUAAUCCUGUCACUCUUGCAUGUAUCUUAGUAACUUUUAACUGGACAAUAUUCUCUUUAUACUAUUAUUUAUAUGAUUAGAUUAUACAUCUAUUAUGACCUGGACUUGAUUCUAUCAGAGUCACGAAAAUGUAGUUGCAAUUUUUCUUGGUUGCUUCAUAUUUAGUUUCUUGUCCUCAGAGAGAUAUGGGGUGGUCUUCAAGAUGGUCACAUCUUGUUAGAGCCGAACCUUACUUAUAAUUUGUUCUGCUAAAAUUAUCUAUAUUAGUCAUAAAGAUAUAUGACAGGAUAAUAAUGCCUUACCUUUGACCCUUGAGAGCUUGUUGAAGAAGAAGAGGGAGACUACUGACCUUCUGUAACUGCCCCAGAGCCCUGCCCCUCCUCUUAUUUCUUUUCCUUCAUAUACUCUUCAGUUUUUGACAAAUUGGCACAACUAGAGUCACCUGGGAAGAGGAAAUCUCAAUUGAAUAAUUGCUUCAACAAGAUCGAUCUGCAGGCAUGUCUAUUGGACCUUUUCCCAGUCAUGGAUUAAUGUUGGGAGACAUAGCUUAUUGAGGGUGGCCAUCCCUCAGGAGGUGGGUCUGGGCUAUAUAAAAUGAAUGGAACUAGAAAAUAUCAUCCUGACUUAGGCAACUAGACCCAAAAGGACAUUCAUGUAUGUUCUCACUAAUAAGUAGAUAUGAGCCAAAAAAAAAUACAGACUACCCAAGAUACAGUCCACAGAACUCAAAAACGUCAACAAGCUGAAGGGCCCAAGGAUGGAAAUGGAGAAGAGCCUGAGUAAAAGAAGAUCCAGUGACAGGCCUGAAGUGGGAUUCAGCUCAAGGUUGCUUCUGGUCCUAGUGAUUAUAACAGCAACAGAAAAACAAACCAGAGUACUUGAAUAUUUCAUACCCAGCAACAAUAGCUUUUAUUCAAUUCCCUGUUGGGGGAAUUAAAGGAAGAAUCGAAAGAACUGAAGGGGCUUGCAACCCCAUAAGGACAACAAUGCCAACCAACAAAAGCUUCUAGGGACUAAACCACUACCCAGAAACUAUACAUGGACUGACCCAGGUCUCCAACUGCAUAUGUAGCAGAGGAUAGCCUUGUUGGGCACCAGUGGAAGGGGAAGCCCUUGAUCCUGCCAAGGUUGGACCCCCAGUGCAAGGGAACAUUGGGGGUGGUAUGGGGGUUGUAUGGGGUGGAACACCCUUAUAGGGGAGAGGGACAGGAUAGGGGGCUUAUGGACAGGAAACCAGGAAAGGGAAUAACAUUUGAAAUGUAAAUAAAGAAAUACAUCCAAUAAAAAUAGUAAAAAAUAAAGCAGAAUCAGAUGGGGCCACGCAUGUGUGUGUGUGUGUGUGUGUGUGUGUGUGUGUGUGUGUGUGUGUGUGUGUGUGCAUGCAGUUCGUGUUUGUAAAUAUCUCUAUUUGCAGCACAUGUAUUUUAAAGGUUGGAUAAUUAAAAAAAAGGAAUGUUGAAAGAUUUGUUCAUAGGCAUCCCUACAUAAGCAUUGCUAAGUGUCAGUAUAAAAUAGUCCCAGAUAAUAUUCACAGUUUUGUACUAUAAGUAAUUCCUCUAAUAAUUACAUUUUCCCUUCUUUCAAAAUUUUUAUUAUUUUAUAUAGAAGAAAAAGAAGUAAAAAGUCUGAGGCUAUUUAGACAACUGAAUUAGACUGUGCAUUUUGGAAAGAGCCUUUAGUUUAUACAAAGACACUAAAGAUUGAAAAAUAAUAGUCUGGAUCAGAUUCAGACACUUUAUGUGUAGGGCUUAGCAUCUCUCACCAGCUCCUGGAUGAACCUCUUCAUACAUGGACCAGUCCCUGAUUAGGCAUUUUAGUCUUUAACAGACUAUUAGACCUAGCUUGGAAGGAUGCUUCUUAAAGGACGAGUGAUCAUUUUCUACUCAGUAAUGUAAUAUGAAUGAAGUUUAUCUCCACUAUCAGUACUUUUGCACUCAACAGUUUAUUAUAUUAUAUAGAAAAGUUCAGGAGACAUUGUGGAAGAUUAAUUUGGAUGUAAUGCUUUAUCUAUAAAUCAAAAGUAGCAUGUGAAACAUAAUUCAUAAUUUAAUAAGAUCUACAUCACUGCAGUUUUUUUUAACUAGAGAUGUUUUGACAAAAGAAAAGUGUAAGCUUAGAUAUGUACAAAUAUGCAGGCACAGUGAUCAAUUUUAAUCCUUUUAGUUCCUGAUUUGGUCUUGCACAAUAAUAAGGAAGCAAAGUUGAAAGCCUGUGAAAGAGAUUAUUCUACCAGAGAGCUGGGUUUGCAGAGUGAAGUUGAAAUGCUUAGAAAAGAGACUUUCUUGAGCAUUUGAAGCAUUAGUCUGCCACUGUGUUUAUGCACCACUGGAUUUUCACUUGUCAGUAUAUCAGAAUUAAGGUUGAGCCAGAUAGAUUGUUAACAAUGUCAAAUUUGAUUGUUUCAAUAUGUGCUAAAUCAUGGCUGCCAGGGGUGGAUCUUGCUGACUUUUGCAUCUUCCUACACAAGUCUCAAAAGAAUGAUAGAUGGGCAUAUUCUUUUCAAAAUGUAAACUGAGAAUUUAUUUAGAAACAAGUGACACUUUCGUAGAUGUGUGUGAAAAUAUUCCACCUACUGGUGAGACCCAGGAAAAAUUUUUCUUUGAAUUUCAUCAUCACCAAAGCAUGUAUAGCACGCGUUCAGUGUGAUUUAUUUUUGACUUGAGCAAUAAUAUAUUUUCAAUAAAAACAUUUAUUGAUAAGUCAUUAAUCUAAACAUCCCUACGGUUGAGAAUAUUAAAACUAUGAAUCAUCUGAUAAGAGAAAAAUCAAUUUUAAAAAUAAAAUCAACUUACAAGAAAUCAUAGUGGCUGUUAAGAAACAAAACAUUCGUGAAUUCGCAUGUUUUCAGUUUUAAAAUACUAGCACUUUAAAAUGAACUUACAUUCAACUUGAUAGUUAAAGAAUAUAGUAAAAGAAGCAUUACUCAUAUGUUCAAAAUAUUUAUUAAAUACCUACUAUAUACCACAUGCUUUGAAAAGAGCUGACCAUAAACAUCUCCUCUACACACUUAUUAGUAUUCUUUAUUCAUGUAAGAUAAUUUCACUGAGGACAGAGGGGACAUGAAUAUAGCAAUAUGCAUUUGCUUAGAGUGGGAACAGAUGUUCCUGGCACUGUCCUCAGUUCUGUAUGACUGUUACUUCACAGCCGUCAUGGCUAUACUCUAUGGGUGUAAUUAGAAUGAUUCAAACUCUAGGAUGAAAUAACAAAAAUGUAACAUGAUUAACUUAAGAAUCAACAAGUAAAGGUAGGUAGAUAGAUUUGGUGAUAUAAACUGUUAAGUGUUAGCAUCAGUUUAAAUCUUUUCCUACAGAGCACUAAUGUAAGAUCAAAGUAGAAAUUUAUGAAAAUGUUAUUGUAUGUUUGGGUUAGGGAACAUAGUGCCUAGCACAUAAACAGUAUUGCCAGCACUGAAGUCUGGCUAAAUCCCCACCAUGUGUUUUUAAGACUUUUAAGUGAUUUUUGAUUUUUACUCUGUGUCUGUGCAUAUAUGCAAAUCUCUCUCUCUCUCUCUCUCUCUCUCUCUCUCUCUCUCUCUGUAUGUAUGUAUGUAUGUAUGUAUGUAUGUAUGUAUGUAUGUAUGUAUGUAUGUAGUGUA